rnacentral:tRNA from 1 species
AGGAGAGUGCGCGAUUGGUAAGGCGAAGUCCUCGGAACUUUAUACGAGUUCCGGGACUAUGAUACUGGUUCGAUUCCAGUCUCUCCUC